rnacentral:rRNA from 1 species
AGAGAGAGACAUGCGCGCAUAUCAAUAAGCGGAGGAAAAGAAACUAACUAAGGAUUCCCCUAGUAACGGCGAGUGAAGCGGGAAGAGCUCAAAUUUGAAAUCUUAAAGGGUUUCCCUUUACGAAUUGUAGUUUAAAGAAGUGUUUUCUGUUGAGGUUUUGGUAAAAGUUCUUUGGAAUAGGACAUCAUAGAGGGUGAGAAUCCCGUAUUUGACCAUUACUUUCCAACUUUGUGAUACACUUUCAAAGAGUCGGAUUGUUUGGGAAUGCAGUCCAAAAUGGGUGGUAAAUUUCAUCUAAAGCUAAAUAUUGGCGAGAGACCGAUAGCGAACAAGUACCGCUGAGGGAAAGAUGAAAAGAACUUUGAAAAGAGAGUUAAACAGUACGUGAAAUUGUCAAAAGGGAAGCGUUUGACACCAGUGUUGUUUUUCUGAAAAUCAAUUAAAGAACUGUUUAUGCUAAGUUGUUUAGACUUUAUCAGCUAACUGUUUAGUUUUGAGCUUUUCUUUAAUGCACUUUUCAGUUAACAAGUCAACAUCAAUUUCUUUUGCUGUAAAAAAGCUUGAGGAAGGUGGCUUGAGAUUCGUCUUAAGUGUUUAUAGCCUCUUGCCUAUGCAGUCGGAGAGAUUGAGGUCUGCAGCGUAGAUCCUUCGGGGCUAAAUGCAUUUGUGCUAAGUUAUAGCAUUUUAUAGACAACUUGUUGACUAUGAUUUGUCUUGUAGCUUACUCGCUUAUGUUAUUUUACCUACGCUUAGGAUGUUGAGCGCAUGUCUCUCUCU